GACGAACGCUGGCGGCGUGCUUAACACAUGCAAGUCGAACGGGCCCGCCCCUGUUUUUGGGGGUGGGUUGAGUGGCGAACGGGUGAGUAUCACGUGAGUAACCUGCCCCCUGCUCCUGGUUAACUGCUUGAAAGGGCGGCUAAUACGGGGUGUGCCGGCUGGUCCGCAUGGGCCUGGUCGGGAUAGUUUCAUCUUCGGGUGUUUCGGUGGGGGAUGGGCUCGCGGCCUAUCAGCUUGUUGGUGGGGUGCUGGCCCACCAAGGCGGUGACGGGUAGCCGGCCUGAGAGGGUGGGCGGCCACACUGGGACUGAGACACGGCCCAGACUCCUGCGGGAGGAAGCAGUGGGGGGUAUUGCACAAUGGGCGGAAGCCUGAUGCAGCGACGUCGCGUGAGGGAUGGAGGCCUUCGGGUUGUGAACCUCUUUCUCCGGUGGUGAAGGCCCUGUCCGUUGCGGCGGGGUUGACGGUAGCCGGGUAUGAAGCGCCGGCUAACUACGUG
rnacentral:rRNA from 1 species